GAAGACGUAUUCCCACGUUCCGUGACCGCGACCCGAACGAGGCACGGAGCCUAUAGCACGCUGGGAAGAAGAAGAAGAAGAAGACUCGUCAGACCAGUCGAUCUCCCCCAAACCCAGAGCCCACCUCGCCGUCUCCGGGCUCCCUCGACCUCGCCGGCGGCGUGACCCCGAUGGCAUCGACGACGGUCCGGCGCUUCGGCGUGGCGGCGGCGGCGGCCGCGUUCAUCGCGCUCGCGGCCUUCGGAUCCGCCUCGGCGUCCAAGACGCCGACGGCCUUCGUGAAAUCCACCGUCAAGGCCCACGACGUCGUCAUCUUCUCCAAGUCCUACUGCCCGUAUUGUAGAAGGGCAAAGGCUGUGUUCAAGGAGCUUGAACUGAAGAAGGAUCCAUAUGUCGUCGAGCUUGAUCAGCGAGAGGAUGGUGGGGAAAUCCAGGACGCCUUAUCUGACAUGGUUGGCAGGCGUACUGUUCCUCAGGUUUUCAUCCGUGGAAAGCACUUGGGAGGCUCUGAUGAUACCGUUGACGCAUAUGAAAGUGGCGAGCUGGCUAAACUUCUAAACAUCAGUGUCAAGGAUGAUCUUUGAAUAUCAUUGUAGUACAUAUCUUGUCCUUCUUGUUGAGGUUACCAAUGCCUUGCAAUGCAACCCCUGGAUUAUCUUUCUUGCAGAACCUAUCACUGGGAUUCUGUCUUAUAAAAGUAUAAACUGUUUUAACCGUACUUUGUGGCGAUCCCUCGGUUGUUAUCUCGCACUGUGAUUGUUCGAUCGUUGCGUACUGAUUGAUUGCAUUUCAAGCACAAA